rnacentral:lncRNA from 1 species
CUUUUAUCUUCCUGGAAAUGUAAGUCCCACAAAAAUGCAAAAAUGGCGCCAAUGCAAAGCCCUCACUCUGUCACUCAGAGACUUAUUCCUGUGUCUGCCUGCCAGAUGAAGAUCUUUUCCAGUGUGUAGGCCACCUGUCCCUCUCCCUCCGAAGAUUAGGCUACUGUAGCCUACUGACGUUACAAGCGUGAUUCAGAAAUUAGGGAGCUUUUUUUUAUUAGAGGAGAAUGGAUUAACUUUUUCAAUGCUAGUUACGGAUACCAUAGUGUCACGUUUCACAUUAGAUUUAUUAACUACAAAAAGGUAAAAAGUAUUUUUAGUUCUGGUGCUGCUCUGCACACACAAGCAUGUUAGCUAGCUAGCUCUGGUCCAACGUUAAGCCAACUUUCGGAAGUUCAAAGACAAAAGUUCCUCCGUAGAAGCCGCUCGUGCGUAGGCUUAAUUCUGUGGGCCUAAUUCAGAUAACUCAUGUCAAAACAAGAUUCCCCGUGCUGCAAAACAAGCCACCUUUUCCACUCUCUCUCGCUCUCUACUCACCCGCAAAAUUUCAUUUGCAUCUUGCACCCUACACUUGUCUGUCCAUCGCGCAUGUAAACAACUUGACCGCUCCAUAGCAAGCUGCACUAUUCUCACUGAAUGUUGAAGUAAUUUAAUGUCGAGCUAAUGUAAAAAAUAAAUAAAAUGAUUUCAGAGGUUUAAAAAGGAACAGAAAGGAACGAUAUAAACCUGUAUUUUUUGGGGGUUUGAACCAGUUCAAAACUUUUAUUUUGCAGGUCGGAACAGUGGAAUGGAAAGAAAAUAAUGAUGGUUCUGUUCAUAAUUUCUAUUCGAACACCUGCUAGUGCUGAAACAGAGCCAGUUGGAGCCUGAAUGAAACUCCAUCCUAAAAUAGAAACACAGUGUAUUUCCAGCUCCAACACUUAUUCUUCCUCUCUUGCUCCUGUCCUCUCCUCCUCCUGACCACCUGGUGCCUUUAAAUAACGUCAGGCUUGGCUGGCAAUGGUCCGUCCAGCACUGACAGAAUCACACAGCCCAGGCCUGCACAGAGCUGAGCGGGCCUCUUGGCCUGAGCUGUUGGCCGGCCAGUGGAGUGGAAUGGAGUGCUAGGCUCUGGCGUUGAUAUGCUUACUGGAGUGGUCAGCACUGCAUGGAGCAUGCAGCCAAAGGGUGUUCCGCUCUCUCCACCAUCGCAGGCCACUGGUCCACUGAUGUCUCUCUAUCAGACACUGCUGCUUUUUAGGGUUUUGUCAUGUUGUCAAAUGUGGCUUUUCUUCGCCAUAUUUUGUGUGCUCUCUAUUAACCCCCUCAUUCUCUCUGUCUGUCUGUCUGUCUGUCUAUCUAUCUCUCUUUCUAUGUAGCAUGUGACCAUGUGCUUUGCCGACACAGUGUUUCAUGGGAAGUUUUUUCAGAGAUGCAUGGGCUCACAUGGCACCAUGUUCUCUUUGAACCAUGCUCCAGCCUGCCAAUCUCCUUUAACCCUUUACCUUGCUUAUUUUGAAGUUGGCAAGUGUUGCUUUUACUUUGUUCCUAACUGCUCAGAAGCCCAUUGGCGGAGGUCCGGACUGUAUUAUAGGCUUGACGUCUCGCAUGUUGUUUCUGUGUAUCUGUACAGUGCUUCCGCAUUGUCCCCUCCCCUUUUUUACCGUUUAACUGAAACCAGGGAGCGCAAGCGAACCUUACCGAUGUCAUCCAAUCACGGAGAUGUCCGCCCUCCUAGGAAACUACAGUUGACACUCCAGGACUCGACUUCCCAGAGCAUGGAAACGGCAUGCAAGAUGUAACACAAAUACUGUCCGAAGCUCCACCAAUGGGCUACUCUGCAGCUAGGAACAAAGGCAGAGAAGAGGUCACAACAGCUGGACAUAGAUUAUCUCGUAUGUCCAGCUGGAGGUCGGCUCCAUCCUCAAAGCCACUCUAACCCCGCCCUACUCUGUACUCUACUGCAUCUCCUGACACACCUGCUAGUGCCCCUGGCCUGACCCAUCCAUUAACCGUUUCAAGUAACUUUCACACACACACACACACACACACACACAAUGAGAGCCCAGGUGCUCCCUCACCUCCACCUAUACGUCUCAGAUGCUCUGCUUUAACUGCGAGGCGUCUGUCAGGGUUAUGGAUGCGUCUGUUCCAUCGUCUGUCUUCCUGAUCCUCACACUUACCCUCCUCAGAGGCCUGACUGAUGGCUGCCCUGACCACUGGCCUGCAGGGCUCUGAGGAGCCACCGUGCGUGAGUGUGUGUGUCUGUGUGUGCGCGUGCGGCUGCAGAAGAGACGUUUGGGGAAAGUUCAGGUGAGAUGAUGAUGAUAUGAAAAUAAACUUGAUUUGAAUACUCAGUCAAAUGUGCUGCAGAGCCCUCUCUCUCUAGCGGUAUGAGAGAGGGAGAUGGAGAAGGUGACCUGUUAAUUAAGUCAACCUUAGUCUCAACGCAAUGUUCUGCAUUUGUUAACAGCUGAUUCUGUGUAGUGUAAUAAAGUUCUCUACACCACUAUCUAUUUUGAAUGAUAGUGAGUUCCAUAGAAUUUCGUUGUGUUUUAGUUUCUGUGAAAAUUGAAUUAGAUUGGAAUUCUAUGAUGUAUUUUACUGGGAAAGAAUGGAGUCAUGUGGAAGACCUGAUAGUUCUAUCCAUUAACCUCCCGUCUGUUAAAUUAUGUGGUAGUAAUGUAGCAGAAUUUUAAUGUGACUGAAAUAUGCCCAGAGAUAUGACUUUUUCAUGGUUUCCACUGGCUACUCUUGCAUAUUUGAUACUGUACAUAAAUUAGACUUGUGUGAGAUCUGAAUUCAAUAUAGGAGCACAGCUCUACAUAUCUCCAUACCAUUUCACUAUAGAAACAUCAUUCAUUUUACAUACAAUCAUUUGUAUUAAUAUAUAAUAUGGCUCUUACCAUGAUCUGAGGAGAAAAAUAAACUUUAGUUAUUGAAUUUUUAUACGAAC